rnacentral:rRNA from 1 species
AUUGAACGCUGGCGGCAGGCUUAACACAUGCAAGUCGAACGAGUGGCGGACGGGUGAGUAAUGCUUGGGCAUCUAGCUUAUGGCUGGGGAUAACUACGGGCAAUUGUAGCUAAUACCGCGUACCAUAGGAUGAGCCCAAGGGGGAUUAGGUAGUUGGUGAGGUAAAGGCUCACCAAGCCGACGAUCGAUAGCUGGUCUGAGAGGCUGCACAGCCACACGGGGACUGAGACACGGCCGAGACUCCGACGGGAGGAAGCAGUGGGGAAUAGAGCGCAAUGGGGGCAACCUGUCGCAGACAUGCCGCGUGAAUGAAGAAGGCCUUCGGGUUGUAAAGUUCUGUCGGUAGCGAGGCGUUAACUACAGAAGAAGCACCGGCUAACUCCGUGCCAGCAGCCGCGGUAAUAC